AGCUAUAUGUUUUAUAUGGAUUAACAUGGAUAUCAUUUUUACAAGGCAUGAUCAUUAGUACUUCAAAGUCUUGGUUACACCAAAUUUAGUUUUCAAAAGACCCUUUCAAAAAAAGCACUUGAUAUUAGAAGUGUGAGUGUAGUAUAUACAGCAGGAAAUGUAUCUUUCAAACCAGUCAUAUUGCACACUUUGUACAUCAUUUGAUUAGUAUCUUCAGCUCUAUAAAU